rnacentral:rRNA from 1 species
CUAGCGGCGCGCUUACGCAUGCAAGUCGAGCGAUGAGGCUCCCUUCGGGGGGUACAUCAGCGGCAGACGGGUGAGUAACACGUAGGUAACCUGCCCUCAAGACGGGGAUAACGCCUGGAAACGGGCGCUAAUACCGGAUGACCUUAGUUGGGGAAGCACCGGCUAAGGAAAGGCUUUGGCGCUUGAGGAGGGGCCUGCGGCCCAUCAGUUAGUUGGUAGGGUAACGGCCUACCAAGGCGAAGACGGGUAGGGGGUGUGAGAGCACGGNCCCCCACACUGGGACUGAGACACGGCCCAGACUCCUACGGGAGGCAGCAGCGGGGAAUAUUGCGCAAUGGACGGAAGUCAGACGCAGCGACGCCGCGUGGGUGAAGAAGGCCUUCGGGUUGUAAAGCCCUUUUCUGUGGGAAGAGGAAGGACGGUACCAUAGGAAUAAGCGUCGGCUAACUACGUGCCAGCAGCCGCGGUAAGACGUAGGACGCGAGCGUUAUCCGGAUUUACUGGGCGUAAAGCGUGUGUAGGCGGCGUGACAAGUUGGGCCGUGAAAGCCCCGUGCUCAACGCGGGGAGGCCGCACAAUACUGCCAGGCUAGAGGGCAUCAGAGGGGUGUGGAAUUCCCGGAGUAGCGGUAAAAUGCGCAGAUAUCGGGAGGAACACCGGUGGCGAAAGCGGCACCCUGGGGUGCACCUGACGCUGAGAGACGACAGCUAGGGGAGCGAACAGGAUUAGAGACCCUGGUAGUCCUAGCCGUAAACGAUGGAUGCUAGGUGUGGGAGUGAAGAACUUCUGUGCCGCAGCGAACGCGAUAAGCAUCCCGCCUGGGGAGUACGGCCGCAAGGUUAAAACUCAAACGAAUUGACGGGGACCCGCACAAGCAGCGGAGCGUGUGGUUUAAUUCGAUGCUACACGAAGAACCUUACCUGGGAUUGACAUAUGGGUGGUAGUGAGCCGAAAGGCAAGCGACCCUUCGGGGAGCCUAUACAGGUGCUGCAUGGCUGUCGUCAGCUCGUGCCGUGAGGUGUCGGGUUAAGUCCCGUAACGAGCGCAACCCCUGUCCUUAGUUACAAGUGUCUAAGGGGACUGCCGGCGGGAAGCCGGAGGAAGGUGGGGAUGACGUCAAGUCAGCAUGGCCCUUAUAUCCAGGGCGACACACACGCUACAAUGG